UACGUAGGGGGCAAGCGUUAUCCGGAUUUACUGGGUGUAAAGGGAGCGUAGGUGGCAAGGUAAGCCAGAUGUGAAAGCCCAGGGCUCAACCCUGGGACUGCAUUUGGAACUAUCUAGCUAGAGUGCAGGAGAGGUAAGUGGAAUUCCUAGUGUAGCGGUGAAAUGCGUAGAUAUUAGGAGGAACACCAGUGGCGAAGGCGGCUUACUGGACUGCAACUGACACUGAGGCUCGAAAGCGUGGGGAGCAAACAGG
rnacentral:rRNA from 1 species